GACGAACGCUGGCGGCGUGCUUAACACAUGCAAGUCGAGCGGUAAGGCCUUUCGGGGUACACGAGCGGCGAACGGGUGAGUAACACGUGGGUGAUCUGCCCUGCACUCUGGGAUAAGCCUGGGAAACUGGGUCUAAUACCGGAUAUGAGCUCUGGAUGCAUGUCUGGGGUUGGAAAGAUUUAUCGGUGCAGGAUGGGCCCGCGGCCUAUCAGCUUGUUGGUGGGGUAAUGGCCUACCAAGGCGACGACGGGUAGCCGGCCUGAGAGGGCGACCGGCCACACUGGGACUGAGACACGGCCCAGACUCCUACGGGAGGCAGCAGUGGGGAAUAUUGCACAAUGGGCGCAAGCCUGAUGCAGCGACGCCGCGUGGGGAUGAAGGCCUUCGGGUUGUAAACUCCUUUCGCCAUUGACGAAGCCCUUUGGGGUGACGGUAGGUGGAGAAGAAGCACCGGCUAACUACGUGCCAGCAGCCGCAGUAACAC
rnacentral:rRNA from 1 species